rnacentral:rRNA from 1 species
CCUACGGGGGGCUGCAGUGGGGAAUAUUGGACAAUGGGCGAAAGCCUGAUCCAGCCAUGCCGCGUGUGUGAAGAAGGCCUUCGGGUUGUAAAGCACUUUCAGUGGGGAAGAAAGCCUUGGGGCUAAUACCCUCGAGGAAGGACAUCACCCACAGAAGAAGCACCGGCUAACUCCGUGCCAGCAGCCGCGGUAAUACGGAGGGUGCGAGCGUUAAUCGGAAUUACUGGGCGUAACGCGCGCGUAGGCGGUCUGAUAAGCCGGUUGUGAAAGCCCCGGGCUCAACCUGGGAACGGCAUCCGGAACUGUCAGGCUAGAGUGCAGGAGAGGAAGGUAGAAUUCCCGGUGUAGCGGUGAAAUGCGUAGAGAUCGGGAGGAAUACCAGUGGCGAAGGCGGCCUUCUGGACUGACACUGACGCUGGGGUGCGAAAGCGUGGGUAGCAAACAGGAUUAGAUACCCCAGUAGUC